GCCCGGAUGGUGGAAUCGGUAGACACAAGGGAUUUAAAAUCCCUCGGCGUUCGCGCUGUGCGGGUUCAAGUCCCGCUCCGGCA
rnacentral:tRNA from 1 species